UUGUCAGCACUAGAUUUCAAGCUUUUUCCCCACAAACUAGAUAAAGCACAGGCAGCAGCAAUUCAAGCUUCCUCAUGCUACCCCACCUACUUACAUCAACCCUGACCUACAGGGACUACCUCUCAGGGCAACAGGGUAGCUCAUUCUCCAUGCCUACUCAACCCUGUGGCCUCA
rnacentral:sRNA from 1 species